CUGCUCUAAUAAAGUGGGCUAAUGACGGUACCGUAAGAAUAAGCACCGGCUAACUACGUGCCAGCAGCCGCGGUAAUACGUAGGGUGCGAGCGUUAAUCGGAAUUACUGGGCGUAAAGCGUGCGCAGGCGGUUAUAUAAGACAGUUGUGAAAUCCCCGGGCUCAACCUGGGAAUUGCAUCUGUGACUGUAUAGCUAGAGUACGGUAGAGGGGGAUGGAAUUCCGCGUGUAGCAGUGAAAUGCGUAGAUAUGCGGAGGAACACCGAUGGCGAAGGCAAUCCCCUGGACCUGUACUGACGCUCAUGCACGAAAGCGUGGGGAGCAAACAGGAUUAGAUACCCUGGUAGUCCACGCCCUAAACGAUGUCAACUGGUUGUUGGGUGCAUUAGUACUCAGUAACGAAGCUAACGCGUGAAGUUGACCGCCUGGGGAGUACGGCCGCAAGGUUGAAACUCAAA
rnacentral:rRNA from 1 species